CGGAGGGAUCAUUACUGAGUUUACGCUCUACAACCCUUUGUGAACAUACCUAUAACUGUUGCUUCGGCGGGUAGGGUCUCCGCGACCCUCCCGGCCUCCCGCCUCCGGGCGGGUCGGCGCCCGCCGGAGGAUAACCAAACUCUGAUUUAACGACGUUUCUUCUGAGUGGUACAAGCAAAUAAUCAAAACUUUUAACAACGGAUCUCUUGGUUCUGGCAUCGAUGAAGAACGCAGCGAAAUGCGAUAAGUAAUGUGAAUUGCAGAAUUCAGUGAAUCAUCGAAUCUUUGAACGCACAUUGCGCCCGCCAGCAUUCUGGCGGGCAUGCCUGUUCGAGCGUCAUUUCAACCCUCAAGCUCUGCUUGGUGUUGGGGCCCUACAGCUGAUGUAGGCCCUCAAAGGUAGUGGCGGACCCUCCCGGAGCCUCCUUUGCGUAGUAACUUUACGUCUCGCACUGGGAUCCGGAGGGACUCUUGCCGUAAAACCCCCAAUUUUCCAAAGGCUGACCUC
rnacentral:rRNA from 1 species